AGGGGCAGGAACAGCAAGCAGCAGGCAGGAGACACCUCGGCAGUCUGGAGCGCAAAGGCGCAGCAUCUUGGGCGGAGGAAGGACAACCUUGUAAGGAAACCAGGGCUGGGAAAAUCUCGCUGACUCACCACAUUUGGAGGCCAAUCCCGAAUCGGUGGAACAACGCGCCUCCCGAGAGACCCAGGACUAGCCUCCAGCCCCGAAACAGCGGUUCUUCACGUGACAGUCACCCCAGGAGCCAGUUUCAUGGAACAAAUGCAGAGAAUCCCGAACCAGCCCCUCCCCACCCCUGCUUCUCAGUCCAAGAAGAGGAGGACACCACUGUCAUCUUUCUUUUCCAAGGUCAGACAUGAGGUCCCUUCCCAGUCGCCACUGUGUAAGGUGUGAGCCUGCUAUCUCUGUAGUUAGAACUGCUCUGCCCCGGGUCCUUCCGGAAGCCGUGUGAUGACAGUUUUUGUCAGCAGGGAUAGAGGAUGCCUGUGGGAAGAUGAGAAGUUUGCUGCUAACUCAAAAAUUAGAAAAA
rnacentral:lncRNA from 1 species